UACGUAGGGUGCAAGCGUUGUCCGGAAUUAUUGGGCGUAGAGAGCUCGUAGGCGGUCUGUCGCGUCUGCUGUGAAAACUCAGGGCUUAACCCUGAGCUUGCAGUGGGUACGGGCAGACUAGAGUGCGGUAGGGGAGACUGGAAUUCCUGGUGUAGCGGUGAAAUGCGCAGAUAUCGGGAGGAACACCGGUGGCGAAGGCGGUUCUCUGGGCCUUACCUGACGCUGAGGAGCGAAAGCGUGGGGAGCGAACAGG
rnacentral:rRNA from 1 species